UGCCUUCGUUUUGGCGUAUCCCCAGUAGCCAUACCAUCUUCAGGCUCAAUUGAAUUUCACAUUUCGGGCAACUUUAAGGAGCCCUCUCUUCUUGUAGCCUCUACCUGUUGCUGUUUUGCGCAAUUAUAACAGAGGCAUUACUUUGUUCUUUCCGGAAUUCGACAGCCAUUCAAGGUAGCCAUAGUCAUAGAUAGGAGAUUGUUGGAUGCGCCCUGGUUCGCUGCACUAAAAAGG
rnacentral:lncRNA from 1 species